AGCAUCACGUAGUUUGAUCAUGGCUACAGAACGACGCUGGCGGCAGGCUUAACACAUGCAAGUCGAACGGUUGUAGCAAUACAGCAGUGGCAGACGGGUGAGUAACACGUGGGAACCUUCCUAGGGGUACGGAACAACUCAGGGAAACUUGAGCUAAUACCGUAUACGUCCGUGAGGAGAAAGAUUUAUCGCCCUUAGACGGGCCCGCGUCGGAUUAGCUAGUUGGUAGGGUAAAGGCCUACCAAGGCGACGAUCCGUAGCGGGUCUGAGAGGAUGAUCCGCCACACUGGGACUGAGACACGGCCCAGACUCCUACGGGAGGCAGCAGUGGGGAAUCUUAGACAAUGGGCGCAAGCCUGAUCUAGCCAUGCCGCGUGAGCGAUGAAGGCCUUAGGGUUGUAAAGCUCUUUCAGUGGGGAAGAUAAUGACUGUACCCACAGAAGAAGCCCCGGCUAACUCCGUG
rnacentral:rRNA from 1 species